rnacentral:rRNA from 1 species
ACGGUGCUGAAGCAACAAAUGCCCUGCUUCCAGGAAAAGCCUCUAAGCAUCAGGUAACAUCAAAUCGUACCCCAAACCGACACAGGUGGUCAGGUAGAGAAUACCAAGGCGCUUGAGAGAACUCGGGUGAAGGAACUAGGCAAAAUGGUGCCGUAACUUCGGGAGAAGGCACGCUGACACGUAGGUGAAGUGAUUUACUCAUGGAGCUGAAGUCAGUCGAAGAUACCAGCUGGCUGCAACUGUUUAUUAAAAACACAGCACUGUGCAAACACGAAAGUGGACGUAUACGGUGUGACGCCUGCCCGGUGCCGGAAGGUUAAUUGAUGGGGUCAGCGCAAGCGAAGCUCCUGAUCGAAGCCCCGGUAAACGGCGGCCGUAACUAUAACGGUCCUAAGGUAGCGAAAUUCCUUGUCGGGUAAGUUCCGACCUGCACGAAUGGCGUAAUGAUGGCCAGGCUGUCUCCACCCGAGACUCAGUGAAAUUGAACUCGCUGUGAAGAUGCAGUGUACCCGCGGCAAGACGGAAAGACCCCGUGAACCUUUACUAUAGCUUGACACUGAACAUUGAGCCUUGAUGUGUAGGAUAGGUGGGAGGCUUUGAAGUGUGGACGCCAGUCUGCAUGGAGCCGGCCUUGAAAUACCACCCUUUAAUGUUUGAUGUUCUAACGUGGACCCGUGAUCCGGGUUGCGGACAGUGUCUGGUGGGUAGUUUGACUGGGGCGGUCUCCUCCUAAAGAGUAACGGAGGAGCACGAAGGUUGGCUAAUCCUGGUCGGACAUCAGGAGGUUAGUGCAAUGGCAUAAGCCAGCUUGACUGCGAGCGUGACGGCGCGAGCAGGUGCGAAAGCAGGUCAUAGUGAUCCGGUGGUUCUGAAUGGAAGGGCCAUCGCUCAACGGAUAAAAGGUACUCCGGGGAUAACAGGCUGAUACCGCCCAAGAGUUCAUAUCGACGGCGGUGUUUGGCACCUCGAUGUCGGCUCAUCACAUCCUGGGGCUGAAGUAGGUCCCAAGGGUAUGGCUGUUCGCCAUUUAAAGUGGUACGCGAGCUGGGUUUAGAACGUCGUGAGACAGUUCGGUCCCUAUCUGCCGUGGGCGCUGGAGAACUGAGGGGGGCUGCUCCUAGUACGAGAGGACCGGAGUGGACGCAUCACUGGUGUUCGGGUUGUCAUGCCAAUGGCACUGCCCGGUAGCUAAAUGCGGAAGAGAUAAGUGCUGAAAGCAUCUAAGCACGAAACUUGCCCCGAGAUGAGUUCUCCCUGAGACUUUAGGUCUCCUGAAGGAACGUUGAAGACGACGACGUUGAUAGGCCGGGUGUGUAAGCGCAGCGAUGCGUUGAGCUAACCGGUACUAAUGAACCGUGAGGCUUAACCUUACA